rnacentral:rRNA from 1 species
UGGGGAAUAUUGCACAAUGGAGGGAACUCUGAUGCAGCGACGCCGCGUGAGUGAUGAAGGAAUUCGUUUCGUAAAACUCUGUUCUAUGGGAAGAAAAGGACUGUACCAUAGGAGAAAGCUCCGGCUAAAUACGUGCCAGCAGCCGCGGUAAUACGUAUGGAGCGAGCGUUGUUCGGAAUUAUUGGGCGUAAAGGGUGCGCAGGCGGCUUUACAAGUUGGGUGUGAAAUAUUGUGGCUCAACCACAAAAGUGCAUCCAAAACUGCAAAGCUUGAGUUAAGGAGAGGUAAGUGGAAUUCCUGGUGUAGCGGUGGAAUGCGUAGAUAUCAGGAAGAAAACCGGUGGCGAAGGCGACUUACUGGACUUAAACUGACGCUCAGGCACGAAAGCGUGGGGAGCAAACAGG